UAGUUUUCGUCUCACCGUCACCUUGCCUCCGAUUGCCAUUGUUAUGCUGGAGAAAAUUUCUAUAUUUGAUGAUUUCUUGGCAGCCCAAAAGUCUUCGUCGGAAAACAUGAAGCGAUGCUGAAGUAAUCACCUCCUAAAAAUCGUACCAAGGAUUCCAUUAGUGUUGCUGUUGUGGGCGAAGUUUCUCUUCCGUUUGAAAUUCAAUAGCAAUUUAUUUUCUGAAAAUCAUAGCUUACAGAAUCAUCAGCCCAAAGUUGAGUAAAUCAAUCAAAUGUAGUAGCAAUUAUUUUCUGAAAUGAUAACAGAAAAAUUUUAUCCUCUUUUACGUGUUUU
rnacentral:lncRNA from 1 species